rnacentral:lncRNA from 1 species
GUGAUUCUAGAAAAUGUUCAGUGUCCGUCCAGGGUGCUCAGAGCCUAAGCCAGAUUUAGCUUCACUCAGGUAGAAAUUCCACAGCCUCUCUUGCUAUGAAAGGUAUGUUUCAUCAUCUAGUAAAUUUGGCCAAAGAACAUAACGUGCACUCACUCUUCUGCCCAUAGUACUUUCCUUGGCUGCCAGAAGAGUUCAAAUCCACAAAUUACCUCUUCACGUUAUUACAUCAUUUCUCCUAAGAGAUGAAUAGAAAAUAUUUUAUCUCCACCAGUCUUAAAACAUACUGGCAGGAUAGGUGAUUUGAAGUCAUGGAGGAUGCACGUUUUCUGAGGAAGUCAUGGCGAAUGUCAGGAACACAAGACUAGAUCUGUUCUGA